rnacentral:misc_RNA from 1 species
UAAGGAAGCAUCUUGUCAUUUUCUAUCAAAAAAAAAAUUAUCUCCCCCUCGCUUGACCCAAUUCUGAGCUCUAACUGAUAUUCCCUGGAGCUUUUAACACAUGCCUUCACCUACAUCCACAAAGUAAUCACUACCCAAUUCCCAACCCUAUGGUGCUGAUGCAAGAGUUAGUGACAACCUGAAGACUGAUAACUUUGUUAUCCAAAAAUGGCAGAUGACCUGACACAGAUGCAACCAUGGACCCCGACUCAAUACACCCAAAUGUAUGCAGGGACUUGUAAAAGGAAAGAGCAUGCCAAAUCACAUAAACCUCAAAUAGAAAUUGCACGACUUAUGGCCAACUUGGCCCAUUCAGCAGAUUC